UAGCUAGAUACCAUAGUGCAGUUUUCUAUGACAUAAUGACUCGUUAACGCUAACGACAAUGUAGUGGAUUUUUUGUUGAAGAAUCCCUUUCAUUGCCCACAUCAGAUUCAAGCUUCUGGGAAAAAGCCUCAUCGAUCAUUUAAUGGACGAUGGUCUGCGUUUUCAAACUGCGCAACACAUCGAGAAGGGAAGAAGAAACAGGGAUACAGCAUUUUUGGGCAUGUAAGAGUUGGCUUUUAGGGGGCACGUUGCUUCGUAAACAAUGGCUCAUUGCGGGACGAAGCAAGGGGGCACUAUGAGAGGGAAAGUUUCGCUAACAAGGGCAACUGAAAGGAGCUUGCAGAGGUGAUGACCAGUCCACUACUCUCUCCUGAUAUGUCUCAUGUAACCUAUCAUCCACUGGCGCAUUGAAUGUUUCCUCUCCAAGUACUUCAAAUCCUGUCCUGUCCUCAGUGGAAGAGCUGAGCCAUUCUCCAACACCAUCCAUCCAUGAUGUACCUGUCCUGCACUGAAGCCUCUCAACACCUCAAGCCCUGUCCUGCACGGAAGUCAAGCCUCUGAACACCUAAACUCAUGCCUCGUACCCUCAUUCAAUCACUGCUGUGAUCCCUUCCUAUCAUUGUGAAAGUAGCCCUCUCAUUCCCAUUCCCCAUAAUAUUUUACUAUACAUUUCUUUAGUAAAUGUUUUAGGUAAAAAUAAAUUGUUUUUGGCGAUUUUUGAAACAUGCUUUGUCGUCUCCGUGCGGUCCACGACUAUACCAUGGUUCUCCCAUCCUCCUAAUUGUUUCAAGUGACGAGCUUCCAAUGCCUCGAAGAGAUUGCAAGUAAGCAUGUCACUAUACUGUUUUACACCUGCUGUAUCCUGUACACGUGACAAAUCAAAUGUGAAACUUGAAAUAACCCAACAGUAAAGUUCAUUCUUGCAAAACAUA